GUUUCCUACGGGACGCAGCAGUGGGGGAUAUUGCACAAUGGGGGGAACCCUGAUGCAGCGACGCCGCGUGGGCGAUGGAGCGCCUCGGCGCGUAAAGCCCUAUCGGCAGGGAAGAAGAUGACGGUACCUGACUAAGAAGCCCCGGCUAAAUACGUGCCAGCAGCCGCGGUAAUACGGAGGAUGCGAGCGUUAUCCGGAUUUAUUGGGUUUAAAGGGUGCGUAGGCGGACGCUUAAGUCAGCGGUAAAAUUGCGGGGCUCAACCUCGUCGAGCCGGUGAAACUGGGUGCCUU
rnacentral:rRNA from 1 species